rnacentral:rRNA from 1 species
UACGUAGGGUGCGAGCGUUAAUCGGAAUUACUGGGCGUAAAGCGUGCGCAGGCGGUUCGUUAAGUCAGCUGUGAAAGCCCCGGGCUCAACCUGGGAACUGCGGUUGAAACUGGCGAACUAGAAUCUGGCAGAGGGGGGUGGAAUUCCACGUGUAGCAGUGAAAUGCGUAGAGAUGUGGAGGAAUACCGAUGGCGAAGGCAGCCCCCUGGGAUAACACUGACGCUCAUGCACGAAAGCGUGGGGAGCAAACAGG